rnacentral:lncRNA from 1 species
CUGUUGUCCGCUGUCCUGUCACGGAAUCUUAGAAUCAUGAGGGUUGGAAAAGACCUCUAUGAUCCUCUCGUACAAUCGUCCACCUACCGCCAAUACUGCCCACUAACCGUGUCCCUCAGUGAUGCAUCAUAUCUCCACGGUUCUUGAAUGCCUCCAGGGACGGUGCCUCCUGAGGCAGCCUGUUCCAAUGUAUCGCCACUCUUCCUGAGGAGACAUUUUUCCUGAUGUUCAAUCUGACUCCUCACUCCUGAGCCCUCUUCCUUCCCCAAGGCCCCAGAGGUGAUAGGGGACCAGGGCUGCCUACUACCAAAGUGCCACAGGUUGGUUGUGGUGGUGCAGGUGCUUUAUGUGUGGGGCAGGUGAAUGAGGGCCCAAUUCGUGUCACACCAAAGGGAGUGGGAGAAAAGUCAAGGGAAGAGGUGGGGUCUUUUACUGGAGCAACAGAUAAGCACACACUUCGAGGGAAGACCAGGCCUCUGCUUUCCAGCAAACACCCUCCAGAGCUGUAAGUGAAGUGGCAGCAUUCACGGCUAAGCUGAAAGUAAUUGUGCUAAUAUUUUAAUGGCCUACCUGCCACUGAAAAUGAUUGAACACCCGACAAAUGAUGAUCAGGAACCAAGGCAAGAUGACCACCUUCAGUGGGUACAACGGCGGCCAUGUGCUCCUGCGGCAGGAGGGAGCAGAGUGGUCUACAGCUCCUGGCCCUGCAGAGCCCAUACUUCUGUUAUUCAACAAAAAGCUGCAGGUUCCCCUUGGGAUUCUAGUAGAACUGAGCUUAAAAGUGUGCUCUUGAGGAUCAGCCCCGGGAGCUGAGAGAAGUGCUCCCUCAGAGAGAUCUGGCAGUUCUACUUGUUGCUGUCAGCACUUGUAGCUAUAGCAACUGUGCUGGUGCUGCUUGUAUGUGCAGAUGUUACUGCCUGGAAGCUGACAUUCUUCAUGUUGACCGUGAUGCUAGAAAGUAGAGGUCAGCAGAGUAGUAUACUAGGGGGCAAGUUUAAUAGAACAGCAAUAAUUACAGAAUUGGGUGCUGAAAUAUCAGCAGACGAAAGGAG